UACAAAGACAGACAGAGCAUGACCUUGCGUCACUGUAAAUGUACACAUGACUUGUUAGCUGUAAUGGCACAUCGGCAUGACUCAAUCACACCACUUACCAAGGAACCAUAUUUGCUGUUAACGUAAUCACACGUGCCUCUCUGACGAAACCAGAUGUUACACCCGGCAAAACACUCGCUGUGUUACCUGUGAUGGCGUGACGCUUUCACACAGCAUGGAGUUUCAGUUUAAUGGCUUGCUGAGAAGCUAACGUUACCUGGCUCAUUCUCCUGAGUUGAACACGGAAUAGCACAUGACUUGAACAACAUUACACCCAUCGAUACAAUGUUGAGAUAAAAAAAAAAUGCUAGUUCCAAAAUGUCUGACAAAUUAAUCGCUGGCUAACGUUUAGGUAAACGUGCGUUGGCUAAUUAGCAUAUCUUGCUAACACUAGCCAAAGACAGCGCUGCGAUAACGCGUCCGAAAGACACAAACAUUGUCCAUUCUGUCAAAUAAAGUAAAAUAAGAGACUGGGGAUAGAUGUGACUACAGCUGAUUAUACAUAGCAGACGUGUAACCUUAGAGGCAUAACUAGGCAAGCCCACAAGGGUAUGGUCAUAUCGGCACACUGUGGAUCGCCAGCUAGCCAAUGCUAGCAGAGACUGGAUUUCUCAGUGUAACUUGAUGUUUAGCAUUAACAUUAUGUGUCGUACGCUGGCUCGAAAAACAGUCAGGCACCACCGCAAUGAUGCCAGGAAAACAUAACCCCCCGUACUCUCAUUGGUAAAUGUGAACACUGCUGUCCGGCCGAACUGAAACAGGAGAUCUGACAGUGGGACUGAACUGAUCCCAGAUUCAGGCUGACUUUAGGGUGCCAACAUCACUGCAGAUGACAACUAGACUCUGUCACUGAGAAAUAAAGGCAAUCACAUGGAAAUGGAGAGCAGUAUGUCCACAGGGCUCCUGGGAUUACGAGCAUGUGUCAAAGAGGAGCACAUCACCAGAGUCUGAUAUGUGUGGCCAUGAGUAUGUGAAGGUAAUGUAUUUUAAGAGGAUGCCUUGAGCUUUAGACGGGACAAAUGCAUCAUGACAGCAAAGGGUGAGUGGAGUUUGUGUGAGAGUGAGUGACAGGCAGGACAUGCUGCAAAGAUUCGCUUCUUUAACGGCCCUCAGUUCAGAAGAUCUGCACUAUUUUUAUGCAUUUUGUUCAGAGAUUUUCCAAUAGAUUUGAUACUAUUAAAAAAUUAUUCGUUCCGCAUUAAGUGGAUCAUUCUUAAAGCAUUCAGGCAUUUGAU